GACGAACGCUGGCGGCGUGCCUAAUACAUGCAAGUCGAACGCAUUUUCUUUCACCGUAGCUUGCUACACCGAAAGAAAAUGAGUGGCGAACGGGUGAGUAACACGUGGGUAACCUGCCCAUCAGCGGGGGAUAACACUUGGAAACAGGUGCUAAUACCGCAUAAUUCCAUUUACCGCAUGGUAGAUGGGUGAAAGGCGCUUUUGCGUCACUGAUGGAUGGACCCGCGGUGCAUUAGCUAGUUGGUGGGGUAACGGCCUACCAAGGCUGCGAUGCAUAGCCGACCUGAGAGGGUGAUCGGCCACACUGGGACUGGGACACGGCCCAGACUCCUACGGGAGGCAGCAGUAGGGAAUCUUCGGCAAUGGACGCAAGUCUGACCGAGCAACGCCGCGUGAGUGAAGAAGGGUUUCGGAUCGGAAAACUCUGUUGUUAGAGAAGAACAAGGAUGAGAGUGGAAAGUUCAUCCCUUGACGGUAUCUAACCAGAAAGCCACGGCUAACUACGUG
rnacentral:rRNA from 1 species